rnacentral:rRNA from 1 species
GAUGAACGCUGGCGGCGUGCCUAAUACAUGCAAGUCGAGCGAACGGACGAGAAGCUUGCUUCUCUGAUGUUAGCGGCGGACGGGUGAGUAACACGUGGAUAACCUACCUAUAAGACUGGGAUAACUUCGGGAAACCGGAGCUAAUACCGGAUAAUAUUUUGAACCGCAUGGUUCAAAAGUGAAAGACGGUCUUGCUGUCACUUAUAGAUGGAUCCGCGCUGCAUUAGCUAGUUGGUAAGGUAACGGCUUACCAAGGCAACGAUGCAUAGCCGACCUGAGAGGGUGAUCGGCCACACUGGAACUGAGACACGGUCCAGACUCCUACGGGAGGCAGCAGUAGGGAAUCUUCCGCAAUGGGCGAAAGCCUGACGGAGCAACGCCGCGUGAGUGAUGAAGGUCUUCGGAUCGUAAAACUCUGUUAGUAGGGAAGAACAUAUGUGUAAGUAACUGUGCACAUCUUGACGGUACCUAAUCAGAAGGCCACGGCUAACUACGUG